rnacentral:misc_RNA from 1 species
ACAAAAAUGAGUUGUAAAUUGAGCGUACCUUUCGCAGAGGCGCUCUUUUUUUA